AUUGAACGCUGGCGGCAGGCCUAACACAUGCAAGUCGAGCGAGUGGCGGACGGGUGAGUAAUGUCUGGGAAACUGCCUGAUGGAGGGGGAUAACUACUGGAAACGGUAGCUAAUACCGCAUACCAUCAGAUGUGCCCAGAUGGGAUUAGCUAGUAGGUGGGGUAAUGGCUCACCUAGGCGACGAUCCCUAGCUGGUCUGAGAGGAUGACCAGCCACACUGGAACUGAGACACGGUCCAGACUCCUACGGGAGGCAGCAGUGGGGAAUAUUGCACAAUGGGCGCAAGACUGAUGCAGCCAUGCCGCGUGUAUGAAGAAGGCCUUCGGAUUGUAAAGCACUUUCAGCGGGGAGGCGUUACCCGCAGAAGAAGCACCGGCUAACGCCGUGCCAGCCGCCGCGGUAAUAC
rnacentral:rRNA from 1 species